UACGUAGGGUGCGAGCGUUAAUCGGAAUUACUGGGCGUAAAGCGUGCGCAGGCGGUUUUGUAAGCCAGAUGUGAAAUCCCCGGGCUCAACCUGGGAAUGGCAUUUGGGACUGCAAGGCUUGAGUUUGGCAGAGGAGACUGGAAUUCCUGGUGUAGCAGUGAAAUGCGUAGAUAUCGGAAGGAACGCCGGUGGCGAAGGCGGGUCUCUGGGCCAUAACUGACGUGGAGGAGCGAAAGCGUGGGUAGCAAACAGG
rnacentral:rRNA from 1 species